ensembl:lncRNA
GGAAAGUGAAGAUGCUGCCCAAAGAGAUGAGCAGAUGCCAGAACCACAAACGGUGUCACUGGGAAACAAUGAAGAUGCCACCCAAAGACAGGAGGAAAGAAUAGAAAUGGUCACAAUGGUGCAGGAGAACGCCCCUGAAGCAGGAGUUGAUGUGAACUGCUCCAGUGGACUAACAGAAAAUCAAAGCAUCAUGUCAAUCCUCUCCUUUGCUUUGAGACACAACACUACAGGUGUAUUAAUGGAGGACUUGCUGAAACUGCUCAAGUUACAUUCUGCUGGGACUACUGUAGUUCCAUCAAGCAGG